UACGAAGGGGGGCUAGCGUUGUUCGGAAUUACUGGGCGUAAAGCGCACGUAGGCGGACAUUUAAGUCAGGGGUGAAAUCCCGGAGCUCAACUCCGGAACUGCCUUUGAUACUGGGUGUCUUGAGUGUGGAAGAGGUGAGUGGAAUUCCGAGUGUAGAGGUGAAAUUCGUAGAUAUUCGGAGGAACACCAGUGGCGAAGGCGGCUCACUGGGACGGUACUGACGCUGAGACGCGAAAGCGUGGGGAGCGAACAGG
rnacentral:rRNA from 1 species